rnacentral:rRNA from 1 species
GAUGAACGCUGGCGGCGUGCCUAAUACAUGCAGUCGAGCGAACAGACGAGGAGCUUGCUCCUCUGACGUUAGCGGCGGACGGGUGAGUAACACGUGGAUAACCUACCUAUAAGACUGGGAUAACUUCGGGAAACCGGAGCUAAUACCGGAUAAUAUAUUGAACCGCAUGGUUCAAUAGUGAAAGACGGUUUUGCUGUCACUUAUAGAUGGAUCCGCGCCGCAUUAGCUAGUUGGUAAGGUAACGGCUUACCAAGGCAACGAUGCGUAGCCGACCUGAGAGGGUGAUCGGCCACACUGGAACUGAGACACGGUCCAGACUCCUACGGGAGGCAGCAGUAGGGAAUCUUCCGCAAUGGGCGAAAGCCUGACGGAGCAACGCCGCGUGAGUGAUGAAGGUCUUCGGAUCGUAAAACUCUGUUAUUAGGGAAGAACAAAUGUGUAAGUAACUAUGCACGUCUUGACGGUACCUAAUCAGAAAGCCACGGCUAACUACGUG